AGCAGCCGCGGUAAUUCCAGCUCCAAUAGCGUAUAUUAAAGUUGUUGCAGUUAAAAAGCUCGUAGUUGAACUUCGGGAUUUGCCCAUUGGUCAGGCUUAACUGUCUGCACUGGUGUGACGAGUUCCUACCUUCUGAGGAAUCUCCAUGUCAUUCAGUUGGUGUGGGGGGAAAUCAGGACUGUUACUUUGAAAAAUUAGAGUGUUUAAAGCAGGCGUCCGUCUGAAUACAUUAGCAUGGAAUAAUAAAAUAGGACGGUUUGGUUCUAUUUUGUUGGUUUCUAGGAUCACCGUAAUGAUUAAUAGGGAUAGUUGGGGGCAUUAGUAUUCAAUUGUCAGAGGUGAAAUUCUUGGAUUUAUUGAAGACUAACUACUGCGAAAGCAUUUGCCAAGGAUGUUUUCAUUAAUCAAGAACGAAAGUUAGGGGAU
rnacentral:rRNA from 1 species